rnacentral:rRNA from 1 species
UACGGAGGGUGCAAACGUUGCUCGGAAUCAUUGGGCGUAAAGCGCGCGUAGGCGGUCCUGUAAGUCGGAUGUGAAAGCCCUCGGCUCAACCGAGGAAGUGCACCCGAAACUGCAAGACUUGAGUGUCGGAGAGGGUGACGGAAUUCCCGGUGUAGAGGUGAAAUUCGUAGAUAUCGGGAGGAACAUCAGUGGCGAAGGCGGUCACCUGGACGAUAACUGACGCUGAGGCUCGAAAGCGUGGGGAGCAAACAGG